rnacentral:lncRNA from 1 species
UCACUAUCUUCACUGUCCUCGUCUGCUUGCUUACCUAUUGACUUAGAGCUGCAUCCAGGGGAAACCCUAGAAGAUUGGGCUUUUAGUUUACUGGAUUGGGCUUCAGGUUUACUGGGCUGGGUAACAGGGUUACUGGGCUGGGUAUCAGGUUUAAUUGGCCUAGAACUGGAGUGGGCUUCAGGUGCACUCAAUUGACGUUCUUGAACAAAUACUUCCAUAAAUGUUUCACUCCAAUUAAAAACCUACUUAACCAACUCCAACACAUCUCUAUCAUCACGAAAAUGCCUAAUUCCACCAUCAUCCGCAUCCGACCCAUACAUAUGAAAGUUCCUUGAUUUAUAGCAUUUCGUUUCCAAUGCAUAAUCUGCUAGCUCAAAAAAUGUGGUCUACAUCAACUUUAAUUAACCUAGAUUCACCCCCAACAUACUGUGGUACACCAAAACCUAACUCAAUGUAACCACCAUACCAAAGCAUAACAUCAAUCGUUUCCCCCGUUGCAUAAUCUACUAGUUCAUGUGAAAUCUUACCUUGAUCGGUGUUUAAACUUGAUGGAUUGUUGAUUUUGAGAAGCUAGGUCACGUC